rnacentral:snRNA from 1 species
GUGUUCACUUCAGCAGUACGUAUGCUAAAGUCAGAUUGAUACAGGGAAGAUCAGCAUGGCCUCUGUGAAGGUUGAUGCACAAAUCCAUGAAGUGCUU